ensembl:lncRNA
GAUAUUCAAACACAAUGAGGUGUGGAAGCUGGGAGGAGACGGAGAUGCUCUUAUUGCUGAAGGCUGAGGCAGGUUAUUUCCCUAUCUUCUUUAAAUGAUUGCGGUGGGAGAAAGUGGAGCUGUAAACACAUGACCUGAACCUGACUCCAGAAUGGCUAAUUGAAAGCGCUUCCCUGGUGGCUCAGAUGGUAAAGAAUCUGCCUGCAAUGCAGAAGACCUUAGUUCAAUGCCUGAGUUGGGAAGAUCCCCCAGAGGAGGGCAUGGCAACUGACUCCAGUAUUCUUACCUGGAAAGUUCCAUGGACAGAGCAAUGUGGUGGGCUACAGUCCCCUGGAGAUCCCCUGGAGAAGGGAAUGUGGAAUCUCUACAAAGCAUUAUCCAACCUGCAUUUAUUUAGCUUCCCCCUUUCACAGAGUGACCCCAUGCUCCACAUCGUCCACUAACCAGCUUACCCCGGCUCAACUGAACACGUUGUAAAAUUACUUUCAGUGUGAGUGAGAACCCGCCAUCACAUUUUAUGACUGGUACAAUAA